UACGUAGGGGGCAAGCGUUGUCCGGAUUUAUUGGGCGUAAAGAGCGUGUAGGCGGUCAGGUAGGUCCGUUGUGAAAACUCGAGGCUCAACCUCGAGACGCCGAUGGAAACCAUCUGACUAGAGUCCGGAAGAGGAGAGUGGAAUUCCUGGUGUAGCGGUGAAAUGCGCAGAUAUCAGGAAGAACACCCGUGGCUAAGGCGGCUCUCUAGUACGGUACUGACGCUGAGACGCGAAAGCGUGGGGAGCAAACAGG
rnacentral:rRNA from 1 species